rnacentral:rRNA from 1 species
AGAGUUUGAUCAUGGCUCAGAUUGAACGCUGGCGGCAUGCCUUACACAUGCAAGUCGAACGGUAACAGGUCUUCGGAUGCUGACGAGUGGCGAACGGGUGAGUAAUACAUCGGAACGUGCCCAGUAAUGGGGGAUAGCUCGGUGAAAGCCGGAUUAAUACCGCAUACGCCCUGAGGGGGAAAGUGGGGGACCGCAAGGCCUCACGUUAUUGGAGUGGCCGAUGGCUGAUUAGCUAGUUGGUAGGGUAAAGGCCUACCAAGGCGACGAUCAGUAGCUGGUCUGAGAGGACGAUCAGCCACACUGGGACUGAGACACGGCCCAGACUCCUACGGGAGGCAGCAGUGGGGAAUUUUGGACAAUGGGGGAAACCCUGAUCCAGCAAUGCCGCGUGUGCGAAGAAGGCCUUCGGGUUGUAAAGCACUUUUGUCAGGGAGGAAAUCCUUUGGGCUAAUACCCUAGGGGGAUGACGGUACCUGAAGAAUAAGCACCGGCUAACUACGUGCCAACAGCCGCGGUAAUACGUAGGGUGCAAGCGUUAAUCGGAAUUACUGGGCGUAAAGCGUGCGCAGGCGGUUGUGUAAGACAGGUGUGAAAUCCCCGGGCUUAACCUGGGAAUUGCAUUUGUGACUGCACGACUAGAGUGUGUCAGAGGGGGGUGGAAUUCCACGUGUAGCAGUGAAAUGCGUAGAUAUGUGGAGGAACACCAAUGGCGAAGGCAGCCCCCUGGGAUAACACUGACGCUCAUGCACGAAAGCGUGGGGAGCAAACAGGAUUAGAUACCCCGGUAGUCC